UGCCAGCCGCCGCGGUAAUACGGAGGGCGAAAGCGUUGUUCGGAAUUAUUGGGCGUAAAGCGCGUGUAGGCGGCUAGGUAAGUCGGGUGUGAAAUCCCGGGGCUCAACCCCGGAACUGCACUCGAUACUGCCUGGCUAGAGUCCCGGAGAGGAAGGCAGAAUUCCCGGUGUAGAGGUGAAAUUCGUAGAUAUCGGGAGGAAUACCAGUGGCGAAGGCGGCCUUCUGGACGGUGACUGACGCUGAGACGCGCAAGCGUGGGGCGCAAACAGGAUUAGAUAC
rnacentral:rRNA from 1 species